CCCCCUUUCGAUAAAUAAUUUUUAUGUUACCCCCCUUUGGUAAUUUAUUUUUUCAUUUACUCCCUCUUGAUAAAUUGCCCUUGAAAGUGCCACCAAUGAUACUUCCACCAUUUUGCUUCAUCUUCCAAACUUUUCCAAAUGCUGCUUUCAUGCUUAGUUUUGAAGGAUCGCCUGCAUAAACACCACCAUGGUGAGCAUAGGAUCGGAGGGCUGGAAACUAUUAUGACCCUCUUCCCAUAGAUAGCCGUCCCUUUCGAUGGUUGUGAUGUUGCCACCUGCGCGAUCUCUGGCCUCGGUGACGAUGUAGUUGGGAAAAACAUGGCGGUGGUUGGUGACGAGCCGAUUCCUAUAAUCACGCAGUCCGCCCGGGAUGUCCGCCAUUGAAUCGGGUUUCGCCGCCGAGCUUAGAAGAAGAAAUGGUAGUGGACUGCUCUGUGAUUGAGCACCUGAGCUUUAGCGGUCUGUAGAUGAUGGUUUUGGGGUUGAGUUUCGAAAGUGAGGGGCCGG
rnacentral:misc_RNA from 1 species